GUGGAAGUUGAGAACACUGCAGUGCUGUGUGCAGCAGUUCACAUCUAAAUCUCUCCAGUUUUUCAAUUAAAGUUUUAUUCCUUUUUAAUUCACUGGUUUGCUAUUUAAUGGACCCCAAGAUUGUUACAUGGUGUCAGAAGUGCUGAAUAAGAAGGAAACUGCAGGCACUUUCAAAGUAACUCCUGUGUUUGCAACUGGAAGGAGGGACAAAGGAAGGCACCAGAGCAGCACAUGGAGCACCAAUUACAGAGGCUUUUUGAAUAUAUUUGAUGCAGAAAAUUGCAAUAACAUGCAGCAGUUUAACAGAUAUACAAGUCUUUCAUAUUAAACCUUAAGAAUCCAGUUCCAUAUGUUUGGCAUGGAUAUGAAAGAACCCAGGACAUUUUUCCAAAAGUGGAGGGGUUUGUCCAGUUUUCAUGGCCAAAAUGUGCUCUUUUGUUGCUGCUGCUUGCUUCCUCAGUCACUUCUGCCUGGACAAAGAGGAUGUAACAUGGCAUCACCAGAAUGUCACCUGACUCUCUGGGAACCACAAAAUCCCAACAGUUUCUUGGCGCAGCGAGCAGGGUGAGAAAUAUCCUUCAGGAUCAAGACCUACAAUCAAGUUAGAAGGCUCGAGCCAGCAUGAGGUCCAAAGUGGCCUUCCUCUGCUCCCUUUCAGCCCAGUGCUCCUCCCAGUCAGUGGCUCACCCCUGGCAUUCGUUGUUGAGCCCCUGGAUGAGGGACUGGAGGUAGGCUAUCUGGUCCUGCAGCGGGUCUUCAUGGGUUCUUUUUCUCCAUCAAAUCCUGCGGACUCGGGAGGAUGGCAUGGGAGAUGGUGGAUGCACCACAUUUGUAGCUGGCCGAGCUGUGAAGAAAAGUUACAAGGGCAGUCAUCUCAGAAGACAUUGUGUAUGAAGCCUAGCCCUAAUCUCUAUGCCAGCACCGAAGGUCUCGGUUCAGAUGAUAGUGUUGUGUUCGAGCAAGGCCUUGUGUUGCUUAGACAGAAGGCACUUUCCUGCAGGGGCACAAAUGUCCCAGCAGGUUCCCAUGCCAGGGAUUGGUCUCUGCCGCAUUGGCGUGCUUGCCCAAGAGUGAAUGCUGCCUGAGUGUGGGCAUGAGCCUAUGCCGUCUGCUCAGCUCACAAUUAGGAUACAUUGGCAGGCCCAGUCAUUACAACAGCAGUCUGUACAUUCAAGUAAGCAGGUGUACAUAUGGUGUCCCAGAUACCGGGGAAUAGAAAAGAGAAAGUGUGUGAUCUAAUGAGGUCCUGGGCCCAAAGGAAAAGGACUGAUGUGCUGAUAAAAGGUAGCUGUUCAGCAUACUCAAACAGGACUAUAGAAUAGAGCAUAUGAUCCACAAAAGAAGCCGUCUGGUAGAAGAAAACACUUGACAGCCGCCAUACCUGACAACAAAAUAAUGUGGAGGAGUCCCCACUGAAACCACAUAUGUGGAAAGUGACCAAGAGAGGUGACCAAAUACUGGCUAGUUGAGCUGCAGACCAAUACCUAAUUAUUCGUUUUCAGAACAAUGGAAUAAGAGAGGCAUCCAGGCAGUAGACAUAAGGAUAUCCAUGAGAUGAGCUUGUAGGUCUGUCCCCAGGGGCCACAGUGGGAGUUACUCAGUUCAUCCUUGAUUGUACUUGACUAAACCAUUGUACUUUAGGUUUUUGCAACCUUUUGCCUGCCUUGUACGGAAUCCUUUUCUUUGAGUCAUGCUUUGAGUGUUCAUUCUGGAUCCAUGAGAUUUUAGAACCUCUAUGGCCUAGAUACUGAAGUGCCUUCGGUACUUGUUUCUGAGUUGUGGUACACCUAGUCAAGUAUUUGAAAAGUAUUCAGGUGUCACAACACUUCAAUGAUUGCAUGUUUAGGGAUAAUUACACAUAUAGCACUCAAUGAACUAUACAAUAAGGAAGGAAAGGGAGAUGAUGAUAUUUAGGGCAGAGUUUGACUCUCCAUUGAAUUUCUAAUAAUUUGCCAGGUUAAAGCCAAAUCUUUAAUAAUAUUUUAAUGCAUAUUCCAACAUAUGAGGAAAGACUAGUUUAAUAUAGGAAGCAUUAGGAAAUUUUAUUUUUUGUUUAUGUGUCUCCUCUCAUGCAAUAUUCACAAGCACCGUUUGGUCUCUUUUCUGAUAAUGCCUGACAAAUCAUAAAAUGCAAUAGCUGUUUUAACAAUGCUGUGCUCUUUUUUUUAGAAAUCCUGACCUUAGAUUAACUUUAUUCAUUGUUGUUUAUCAAAAGCAAAUUACAUUCUACACUGGGAACACAGGGAAAUCAAAUGUCAGCUGCGAAAGUGUCACUGUUCCAUUUAAAGGUUACAUCUUGUUUUAAUGGAAUAACUGGGAUGCCUAGCAUGAUAUCACAUUCCUGGAACCCCUCCAAUUUGCUCCUGCAUCUCCUGCAUGCUGGUAGCUCUUUUUGAUGAUACUUCACACACACAUAGAAAUUCUUACUGAUGACACUGGUCAAGUAUAUCACACGGUUUUGUUUGAUGGAGGAAGUUAAUUGCUUCCAUAUAUCCUUCUCAACCAUUGGACAAAAGUAAGCUGUAAAAAGAGUCUCUUGUUUGCAUGUGUAUUUUUAUCUGAUGGUCUCUAGAGAAAUAUGAAAAAAAAUAUGACAGAUAUCAAAAUAUGGAAUUAUUGUGCAUACUCUAAAUUAAUUUAAACUGAUCCGCCAUAAAAAACCACAUAUGCACUGCACUAUUAGACAAUUUGAAAAACUAAAGGUUUAGAAAGUUCAAUCUAGCUAUCCCUUAACAGGUUACUUAAUGAAAAUACAACAUUUGCAGACACUUGUUUUUUCAUCACUGUCCAAUAUGAUAUAAGAUGUAUUUUGACAUUUCAUUUAAUUGAUUAUCCACAUGUGGUUUAACUCAGCUAUUCAAUGACAUUUAAAGUGAGCUGAUUAAAAAUAUAACCAUGCUUUAGGCUGUUAUGGGUUGAGUUAAAGCUUGCAAGUGUAAAAGCCUUGCAUUCAAGAUAAAGGUAACAAUCAAACAAGCUCUUGUAUGGAACUAGGUAGCUGAAACAAUAUGAACAUGGCCCAAAAAACAUAGGCACAUCGCAAAGUUGUAAUAGAAGCUGAACCAUAUGGUCUCAGGAGUGUGUCUUUGGACUGACCUUGCCUAUGCAGUGGCUAGUACACAUAUUGAUGAUACUAUGGGAGAGAGAGAAGCUGAAGAAAAUCAUAGACACGAUGACAAAAGCACCGUUCAAGUGAUCCCAAGAAAAAGCUGAAUCAAUGAGAUUUUGGGUAGCGUUCUGGUGACAAAGAGCCUUAGGAACUGUGAGCAAAAACUGUCUCCUACUGUUUGAUUUGAGCAGUGUUCAGGGGAACAGAACGUUGUGACUUUUUUUUGUAAAUAAACAGGUUCACACCGAAGAGAUACAUGACUCCAUCAAUUUAUCCUUCUGGCUGAAACAAUGUGCAGGACCCUGAAAACUAGCUAACCUUUCACUUCGAAAGAGAUAAUAUAUAUUAUGUUAAAAACAAUUUGUCCUUGUAGUGAUGUAGCAAAAGCAGCACCCUCUUGUGGAUCUUCUGGGUGCUGUGAGUCUUCAUAGUGGGCUGGAAGAGGAGUCUAUCUUCAGUGUCCACUGAGGCCCAUUGAUUAGUUGUCCCUUGGAUUUUAUCUCCUUCCAGUGAGGGUUGGGAGGCUCAGCCCCAAAAUGUUCAACAAUGACUACAAAAAACAAAUGUAACUCCAUACUGGGACAUCUCCACAUUUUCUGGGUAUGGGAGCCUCCCUGUUUUUAAUUUUGGGCUUGGUUCACGGUAUGUUUUGAGUAUUGCUCAUUCCGUGGGAUCUUACUGUUCCUCCCUAACAGCUGCUUCAGAAGCUUCCUUCUGAAGAGGGACAGCACUCCAUCCUCCUUCUUGGCAUGACAGCCCUUUACUGAGCCAGGGGCUCUCCUUCUAUUUCCCAUCCAUGUUUGGCACUGGCUGCAAGUAUAGCAGUGAGAUACUAACUGGGCCUCAAAACUCUCUUUAAACCCUUCUUUAGGUGACCUCUCUGCCCAUCCCGCACCCCGGUCUCUAUUUGGUAUAUGCUCCAUAUAUCCUUUGGCUCUUCUUCUUCCUCAGCAACUCCCCUCCACCUCCACUAUUCAGGUGGAUUUGCCAGCCCUGUGUUGGACAUGGAAGAAGGUCUGGAGGGAUAGAUAUCACCUCAUAUUCCAAGAUUGGUUUCCUUUAUGACAUGGGAUAAGUCAUGGUGGGUGACUAAGAUGAAAUGAUUCCCACGAUGAUAGUAG